rnacentral:rRNA from 1 species
AUGGCGCCCGUCCGAGCAGCCCUCCUCGCCUUCCUCGUGGCCGCGCUGCUCCCGCUCGCCCUGUCCCGCGGGCAGGGGCGUGGCCCGCACCUGCCGGGGCACGGCCUGGUGCAUCGCCACGGGCCUGGCAUCGGUCACCACGCCCACGCGCCGCUCGGCGGUGGCGCCUGGGCCUCCGCGCACGCCACCUUCUACGGCGGCGGUGACGCCUCCGGCACCAUGGGUGGGGCGUGCGGCUACGGGAACCUCUACAGCACGGGGUACGGCUCCAACACGGCGGCCCUCAGCACGGCGCUCUUCAACAACGGCCUCAGCUGCGGGGCCUGCUUCGAGGUGCGGUGCGACCCGGGCGGCACCGAGGCCGGCGCGCCCCACGCCUGCCUCCCCGGCUCCACCGUGGUGACCGCCACCAACUUCUGCCCGCCCAACUUCGGCGAGUCCUCCGACGCCGGCGGCUGGUGCAACCCUCCCCGCGCCCACUUCGACAUGUCCCAGCCCGUCUUCCAGCGCAUCGCGCUCUACCGGGCCGGCAUUGUCCCCGUCUCCUACCGCAGGUUCGCCCCCUUCCGUCACGCAUUACUACCUUUGUCUGCCCAAGAACUGUUAAGGGAGUUGACACUGACGGUGCCGUGGAUCUGCUCGUGCAGGGUGGCGUGCCAGAAGAAGGGCGGCAUCCGGUUCACCAUCAACGGCCACUCCUACUUCAACCUGGUGCUCGUCACCAACGUGGGCGGCCCCGGCGACGUGCACGCGGUGUCCGUCAAGUCCACGCGCUCGGCGGCGUGGCAGUCGCUCUCCCGCAACUGGGGGCAGAACUGGCAGAGCAACGCGCUCCUCGACGGGCAGGGCCUCUCCUUCCGCGUCACGGCCGGCAACGGCCAGUCCGUGGUCUCCAACAACGCCGUCCCGCGCGGCUGGUCCUUCGGCCAGACCUUCAGCGGCGCCCAGUUCCACUGA